UAUUAUUUUUCCAUAUGAGAAAAAACAAGCCCCAAACAUAGGGAUGGAAUAUAGGUGAGUAACAGAAUUCGACUUACUUUUAGGUUGUUGAAAUUGUAAUAUAAAUUUUAUAGGAAAAAAAUAGACAAUGCUGCUAUAUUUAGGGGAACUGAGAGAAAAUGAGGAAUCAGCUAGUGUGGAAUGUUAAGCAAUUAGGGGGAGAAACUGAGGCCUAUAAGUAUUUGAGUAUUCUCAGCAAUGGCUUACGAUAUUUUUACAAUGUCACCAUUCAACUAUUCCUCAGCAUAUUGCAAUCACUUCCUUAUUUCUUAAAGAUGGUGAAUGGUGAGGGUAAUUACCAAUAGGCAAUUAUCCUUAAGUGAACAUUUCCAAGUGUAUAAUUAGUUGAGAGGGCAAUUUCCAUUCCAUUUGGGUUAAUUUAGAUAGUUGAUUUUUACUGGAAGGGAAGAUUUAUUUUUUAAAAAGCAACUAUUUAACAGCAGGCAUGCCAGUCAUUUUUUAUAAAUGUCGCUUGCAAUCCUAAAUGCAAGCUCUAAAAGCUCUAAAAAGAAGUAUUCUUACUUGGACGGAAAGUUCACAGCAAGAAAAUUCACAUUAAAGGCAAGUAAACAUUGUGAAGUACAAUUUAGACAUUUAUUAAAUGUACAUUCUGGAAUUCUGAGAGAACACUUCUAAUUUUCAUAAAGGAAUACACUGGUUUAAUAUAAGAAGCCAUAUCAAAAUGUAUAUGCUUAGACAAUAGGAUCUUUCCUCAUAAGAAUUAAAUGACUUAUAAGUAAAAUGUAUACCCUCUUCCUUUUAAAAGUACAUAGUGUAAUGAGGAAGAGUGAAAUAAAUUGACUUAUUCAACACAGUGUAUUAUACUGAUGACUUCAGUAGUUAAGAAAUGCAUGAAGGUACUAGUAACAAAAAUCAGAAAUAAUAUUAAAUUUUAUUUUUCUCUCAAUUAAAUCCAAAUGUUCAAAGGCAAAUAGUCUAGGGCUGGUAUGACCAAACUGGCUUUUUGUGGUUUUUGCUUCUUAUCUUGAGAAAAUGGUUUUAAUUCUGAAGUCAUCUUAUAGUUCAAGAUGGCAUUUGAAACCCCAGCCAUCUAUUUUGGGAAGCAAGAGAAUGAAGAGGGGGAAGACAGAAAGAGAACUUUCUUUUAAAAUGAAUUUCUCCAGGAAUCACAUUCAACAAUUUCUUCUUACAUCUCAUUGACUAGAUAUAGUCUUAUAAUCACACCUGUCUACAAAAAGGCUGGAAAUCAAGGCUUUGAACUGGAAAUAUUUCUUUCUAAAUAAAUUGGUGUUCCAUUGCUUG
rnacentral:lncRNA from 10 species